rnacentral:lncRNA from 1 species
CAGAUUAAAAAUAGCAAAUUUUGAGAAACUACAACGUACAAAUCCUAUCUCCUUAACAUUGCAGUGGAGUAGAAAAUGCAGUAGGAGAGAAUGAGGUUACUUGAAGAAGAAGAGUACCAAGAUCCAGCACAACUGGUCAAAAUUGGGCAUUUUAAAGUCUUUGCUUCGUUCCUGUUACACGAUAACGAGCAAAGAGGGGUAGCUGUAAUACCCUAUUUGUGCCCGAGUCAAAAGGGCCCAAAUUACAAACGGGCCUAUGUGGCCCAAAUCAAACAGAGGCCCAAAACCAAACCCCAAAUCCAGUGGCCCAAACAAUCAGAAACCCUAGGGUUUCUAGGAUGAACUUGCGCCGCAACCAGGAUCUUCGCACUAGCCGCCUCCCCGAAUCUUCAUCUGCACACAAAAAAGGAAGCAAAACAGUAAUGGAAAGAAAUCAAAGGAUUGAGAAUCAAAUCAAUGUAAUGGAAAGAAAUCAAAAGAUUGAGAAUCAAAUCAAUGUAAACAAGAUUUUAUUUCUAUAUUUUUUAUUAUGGCUAUAUAAAGCCAUUGAGGAUACAUUAUUGGGGGAUCGGAUUUUGAAAAAAUACGAUAAGAAAAAACGAUUAACAGUUAAAAAAAGAAGGUAGAUUACUAUUUUUACUUUUUCUCUACGUUUCUCUACUGUGUUCUUUUAUUUUUUUAUUUAUUAUUAUUAUUAUUAUUAUUAUUAUUAUUAUUUUCUCCUUGGCAAAACAAAAAAGAGUAAAAGAGGGGAAUAUACUUACCUGCGUGGAGGAAGAUGAAACCCUGUUUGCUGCCAAAUCGGAACCGGAAGGGAGAUUCAGGUUCGCCGAAGUGGUUGUGGCGGCUAGGGAGUUUGGGUUAAAGAAAACCCUAGCAGAGAGUUUCC